rnacentral:lncRNA from 1 species
GAUUUGCAGAAGUUUUUUAGUUUGAUGAUGUCCCACCUAUUGAUUUUUAGUUUUAUUUCUUGCAAUUUAGGAGUCUUUUAAGGAAGUUGGUUCCUGUGUCAAUAUGUUAGAAUGUUGGACCUUGAUUUUCUUCUACUAAUUACAGAGUUUCUGAUCUAAUUCCUAGGUCUUUAAUUCACUUUGAGUUGAGUUUUGUGCAGAGUGAGAGAUAGGGGCCCAGCUUAAUUAUUCUGCAUGCAGAUAUCUAAUUUUCCCAGCACCAUUUGUUAAAAAGACUAUCCUUUCUUCAACAUAUAUUUUUAGCACUUUUGUCUAGUACCAGAUAGCUGUAUUUAUGUGGUUUUGUCUCUACAUAUUCCAUUCUAUUCCACUGGUCUUCCCGUCUGUUUUGGUGCCAGUACCAUGCUGUUUUUACUAUAACUCUGUUUUAUAAUUUGGGGUCUGGUAUUCUGAUACUUCCUGCUUUACUCUCUGAGCUCAUUAUUGUUUUGGCUGUUUGGAGUCGCUUAUUUUUCCAAAUAAGUUUUAGUACUUCUUUUUCUAGUUCUGGGGAAAAUGUCAUUGGCAUUUUGAUAGGGAUUACAUUGAGUCUGUGUAUUGGUUUUGAUAGUAUGGCCAUUUUUACAAUAUCAAUUCUACCUAUCCAAGAACAUGGGAGGACUUUCCAUCUAAGUUCAUCUUCAAUUUCUUUCUACAAUGUUCUAUAGUUUUCCUUAUAGAGGUCUUUCCAUUAAAUUAAUUCCCAGACCUUUUUUUUAGAUUAUUGUAAAUGGGAUAGUUUAUCUAAUUUCUUUUGUCAGCAGUUUCAUUAUUGGAGUAUAGGAAAACAAUUGAUUCAUGUGUAUUGAUCUUACGUGCUUAUAUUUUGCUGAAUUCAUUUAUGAGCUCUGGAAGUCUUCUGGAGAUUUUUUUAUAACUUCUACAUAUAACAUUAUGUCAUCAGCAAACAUGGAUAAUUUGAUCUCUUCUUUUCCUAUUUGUAUUCCAUUUAAUUUCCUUCUGUUGCCUGAUCACCCUGGCUAAAAUUUCAAGGACUAUGUUGAAUAGGAGUGGUAAGUGUGGGAAUUCUUGUCUUAUUCCUGUUUUUAAAGGAAAUGUUUUCAGUUUUUCUCCAUUCAGUAUGAUGUUGACCUUAGGUGUGUAAUAUACAGUCUUUACAAUGUUGAGUUAAGUUACUUCUCUCCUAACUACUCAAGUGUUUUAAACAUAAAUGGGUAGUCUACUUUGACAAAUGCUUUUUUGGCAUCUAUUAAUAAAAUAAUGUGAUUCUUGUCCUUAACUCUACUUAUGUGAUAAAUCACAUUUAUUGAUUUAUGUAUGUUGAACCAAACUUGCAUCCGUG